rnacentral:lncRNA from 1 species
GCUAAAUAUAUAUUGUUCAAUUCGUGUGUUGUGCUCCUACCUCUCUGCUCUUCUCUUGUGUGCUUACACCUUUUAUACUACUCAACUGUCUUCUAGAUUCCUGUGCAUAUUCAUGAAUGAUUUCUUAUUUUCAGUUUAAUUCCAACAGAAUACGAGGAGCAUGCCCAUGGACAAUUUCAUGUAUGUGUAUUGCCAUCUAUGUUUAGUUUGUAUCUUGCGUACUAAGGCAACCUGUUCUAACAAAAUUCACAUCUCGGAGUAUUGUACUGCUAAGGAUCUGGCUUAUUUUUUCUUUUCUCCAUGAUGCUACAGAUGGUCAAAGCAUGAUUGCAUGAGUAUAACCUACAUCAGCCAUGAGGGUCUUCAGGUCUGCUCUAAACUUAUAACUUGUAGUUAUUCUAAAUUGAUAAUGCUGGCAUGUAUGUGGAAUCAAAAAUCAUAGCUUGAAUUGCUUCUGAACAAUAAUAUUGUCUUCCAAUUCUAUAAUAUUUAUUUCCUAUGCCGAUACUAUUAACCUGUUCCUUGGUUUAUAUCUUCUCUAACUGGGUCAUUCUGUAUGUUGUGGCUGUAUCAGAGUAUAUGUCAACUAAUCAAAGAUGUAUACUCCUAAUGCUUUUUCUUACAAUUGUAUGGGUGAUUGUGAUGCACAAACUUCUAGCAGCAGUAGUGCUACCUGCUACUGCCAGUCGGUAGGCAGGCUGGUGCAACCGCCUGUCUUGAAGGUGAUGUCAUUUUGGGAAGCUUGUAUUAGAUAUAUAUUCUUUGGAGUGAAUAAAACCUUGAAUAAAAAAAGAAUGAGAAUAGAGGGGAGACUUCCCCCUGUCUUAUUCUUAUAGGAGAUGAGAGACUUGAACGUGGGCUGGCAACAUCAACCUUUGUGCUGUCCAACACUCCACCAAGAAGAGCCCCUCAAUAAA